AUACGUAGGUGACAAGCGUUAUCCGGAUUUACUGGGCGUAAAGGGCGUGUAGGCGGCCUUGCAAGUCAGAAGUGAAAUUCCUGAGCUCAACUCGGGCGCUGCUUCUGAAACUGCAGGACUUGAGUGCUGGAGGGGAUAGCGGAAUUCCUAGUGGAGCGGUAAAAUGCGCAGAUAUUAGGAAGAACACCGGGGGCGAAGGCGGCUAUCUGGACAGUAACUGACGCUGAGGCGCAAAAGCGUGGGGAGAAAAAAGGAUUAGAUCCCCUGGUAGUCCCCGCCGUAAACGAUGAAUACUAGGUGUAGGGGGUAUCGACUCCCUCUGUGCCGCAGUUAACACAAUAAGUAUUCCGCCUGGGGAGUACGGCCGCAAGGUUGAAACUCAAAGGAAUUGACGGGG
rnacentral:rRNA from 1 species